UAGGGAAUCUUCCACAAUGGACGCAAGUCUGAUGGAGCAACGCCGCGUGAGUGAAGAAGGGUUUCGGCUCGUAAAGCUCUGUUGUUAAAGAAGAACGUGGGUGAGAGUAACUGUUCACCCAGUGACGGUAUUUAACCAGAAAGCCACGGCUAACUACGUGCCAGCAGCCGCGGUAAUACGUAGGUGGCAAGCGUUAUCCGGAUUUAUUGGGCGUAAAGCGAGCGCAGGCGGUCUUUUAAGUCUAAUGUGAAAGCCUUCGGCUCAACCGAAGAAGUGCAUUGGAAACUGGGAGACUUGAGUGCAGAAGAGGACAGUGGAACUCCAUGUGUAGCGGUGAAAUGCGUAGAUAUAUGGAAGAACACCAGUGGCGAAGGCGGCUGUCUGGUCUGUAACUGACGCUGAGGCUCGAAAGCAUGGGUAGCGAACAGG
rnacentral:rRNA from 1 species